rnacentral:rRNA from 1 species
CAGUCGCCGCGGUAACACGAAGGGUGCAAGCGUUAAUCGGAAUUACUGGGCGUAAAGCGUGCGUAGGCGGUGAGUUAAGUCUGCUGUGAAAUCCCCGGGCUCAACCUGGGAAUGGCAGUGGAUACUGGCUCGCUAGAGUGUGUCAGAGGAUGGUGGAAUUCCCGGUGUAGCGGUGAAAUGCGUAGAGAUCGGGAGGAACAUCAGUGGCGAAGGCGGCCAUCUGGGACAACACUGACGCUGAGGCACGAAAGCGUGGGGAGCAAACAGGAUUAGAUACCCCAGUAGUCCCUGUCUCUUAUAA